UUUCUCUAAUUAACAUAAAACACACUAAGACUUCUAAUCCUAAGUGAGGUCAUUGGCACAUGUCUUAGUAGAGGCUUAUCAUAAUAUUUAUGAAUGAUCUAUCAAUGAAGGACCACCAACAGAAUGAAUCAGUGAUCUAUUAGUAAAGCGCAGUUCUUCAUCCCUUCUCAGACAACUCCUUGAUAAUAAGCACAAAUCAAGUAGCUUCACUAAUACAAUUCCGUUGAAAUAUUAUCUCAUAACGGAGGCAGAAACCACGGAUUGAUCUUGGCGCGGGGCUCACAGUACAAAAGCACUUUGCAUCAUUAUUGCCAGUAGGCCAAUCUUAUUUGGUAUUUCUCCUUUUUAGAUUGCACUUAGGCCGUUCAUUUCAAUGUGGGGCUUCCUCACUUCAAUCCAUAUAGUCACUAAAGAUGAUUGAACUACACCCAGGUAUCUUUUGAGAUCCUCCAUCUACC
rnacentral:lncRNA from 1 species